UACGAAGGGGGCUAGCGUUGUUCGGAAUUACUGGGCGUAAAGCGUGCGCAGGCGGCUUCUCAAGUCAGGGGUGAAAGCCCAGAGCUCAACUCUGGAAUUGCCUUUGAGACUGAGUGGCUUGAGUACGGGAGAGGUGAGUGGAAUUCCCAGUGUAGAGGUGAAAUUCGUAGAUAUUGGGAAGAACACCGGUGGCGAAGGCGGCUCACUGGCCCGUAACUGACGCUGAGGAGCGAAAGCAUGGGGAGCGAACAGG
rnacentral:rRNA from 1 species